AAUCAACGCUGGCGGCGUGCCUAACACAUGCAAGUCGAACGCGAAAGGGGCUUCGGCCCUGAGUAGAGUGGCGUCCGGGUGAGUAACGCGUGGGUAAUCUACCUUCGGGUGUGGAAUAACUCAGGGAAACUUGAGCUAAUACCGCAUAAUGCAGCGGCUCGACAUCGAGACAGUUGUUAAAGCUCCUCGCAAGAGGGGCGCCUGAAGAGGAGCCUGCGUCUGAUUAGCUAGUUGGUGAGGUAACGGCCCACCAAGGCUACGAUCAGUAGC
rnacentral:rRNA from 1 species